GUAGAAAGGUCCCUGGAACUCCUGCUGUGGCCCCAGGGAGCCCUGAACUCGGCCAAAGGGCUGACCUGCCUGCCCCACCUCCAGUGCACACGCCCACAUCUGCUCCUACACCCUCAGGGUGUCCUGCUGUUGUGUGUUAUCUGUAGGUAAUCAGCAGCUGUAAUCACUCCAGCAGCUCCUUCCCACUGCCUGGUCUGUGGUGUCAAAGGGGCCCCCAGUCAUGGAAACAGCCAGGAGCCCAGGUCAGGAUGUGGAGCCCAUGAUAAACACGCUCUCCCAACCGUUCUGCUGAAGGCCAGUGAAGAGAGAAGGCAUAUGUUCACGGAGACAACGAACCCAGAGACCUUCCGAGCGGACUUUGAUGCUCUAAAGUAAACUUGUCUCUUCAAUUCAUCAACAAAGAUUUAUUUGGCAUGGACUGCAUGUCUGAGCCAGCCACUAGAGGCUGAGAAGCCAGAGGAAAAAAUGAGCUGAGGGAGGUUCUGCCCGAGUGCAGCAAGGUGGGUUUUCUGUUUUAUAAAUGCAGAAACAGGCUCAGAGAGGUUGUGUGAGUUACUUAAGACAACACAGCAUGUGCAUGGAAGGCCUGCAAGGAAGCUGAGUGCAGGAGUUGGCUAGAGGAGGUGGUAAAUGGGGUGUCAU
ensembl:lncRNA